rnacentral:lncRNA from 1 species
UCCAAACCAAACUUACUUUGGUGCAGACUUGUAUUCUAAAUACUGAGAUGAACAACGCUUUUAUUAGAGGUUUACGUUUAGCGUUAAAAUGGUUGUGCACAAUACAUUGUACGAAGGGUUGAUCCCCCUAAGUACGUGGAGUCCUUAUAGUCUUAUGACUGUUAAAGUUAAAGUUGAAAGAUUACUUAUAAAUGUGGAC